rnacentral:rRNA from 1 species
AUGAACAAAAAGAAGGGCCAAGAACAAGUCAAGAAUUCGGCCAAGAUUGUUUGCUUCAAGUGCAAAGUAGAAGGGCAUCAUGUUAGAUCUUGCCCAUUGAAGAAGAAGGCCAUUAGUGACAAGCAACAAGGGAAGCGGCCACAAGUUCGAUCUCAUGCUCAACCACAAUUUGAAGAAAGUCCUCUUCCCAAGAAUCCUCAAGCUAAUGCUUCUCAAGUUGAGGAAUCAAGUGAGAAGAAAGUGAAGAGUAGACGUUGCUACUUAUGUCGUGAGAAAGGUCACCUCGCCUCUUCAUGCACUAGUGGUAACUUAUCCAACCCAAUUAUUAUUGAUGAUAUCUAUUCUCUUGGGAAGGAUAAUGUUGGCCAUGUGUUUGCCAAAUUUGUUGGUGCUCAAAGUGGUGUCGAGAAAAGAACCAUUUGGGUAGACAAGCCUAUUGUGACUAACCUCUUAGGACCCAACUUGGUUGGGGACCAACUAGCUCAAACUUGA